CCCAGCCGAGGCUCACUGCCCCCCGGAUGGGCAGUGAGUCGGUGGGUUCCUGAGGCCAGGGAGCAGCCCAGCCCUGCCCCUCGGGAUGACACACCUUCCCAGAGGGGUGUGGCGCCCUCCCAGGCUGACCUCCCAGCAGACCAGGUAGCCUUCCGGAGGAGCGGAUGUCUUCACGUUGAAUUACCCCAGCCCGGAGGUGAGUGCAGGUAAUUUCAACCUGGGUACUGCAUCUUAUUUUUAUUUCUCAUGAAAAUAUUUUGUAUCUGAAAAGCUGUGACAAACACUUGAAAGUAUUCGCCAGGGCUAAACCCAAUCCCGAAUAAAAUGCCGUGCAAUAAACAGCAGAGACUCGAACGCAGGAAAGGCAGUUAAGAGCUGACCACGCUGGCAGGGGACUGGUUAACCUGUGCUCACAUUUCUUCUGCACAAAGUCAUGGUUGGAAAUAGGUCUCUGCCUGGCAGAGGGGAGAAAAGUUCUAGAAGUUUCCUGUGUGCAUUAGCUUAGUGAGAGGAGAGACUCUAACCAGUUAGCCAGUUAGUUGAUGUCUGCAGAUGGGGGCCAGGACCAAACUGGAUGGGGGUUCUGACUGCUGGGGUUUUACGUUUGCUAAGUGUUGUGUUCUUGGGAUCCCAGAGCCUCAAUGUCUUUAUUGGUCCAUGGUGAUAGCAUCAUCUCUGUGGCUCACCUAGCCCCGUGCCUGUUCGUGGAUCCUGACAGCCUGUGAUCCCUGGAGGGGGCCUGGGGAGUUGGGUCUGAAGGUUAGUGUACGACCAGGAGUUGGGGUACCUUGGGGAAGGAGGGGGUUCUCAUGGGAGCAGUAUGCUACCCUGGACAUGCAGGGGGGCAGGAGGAGACUGCAAGGUGGCUCCCCAUUCUUGUGGAGCUGACAGGUUAGAAAUGCCCCUGUCCUUCAGCCUCACUCUGUCUUGGUUGGAACUGAGGAGGAGGCAUGGCAGCCGAGGGUUCCGCAGGGGAACCAAGCUGUCUGUGGAGGAGCACGUAGCCAGGCCCCGGCUCUUUGCCAGCAAGCUGAGCGCGGCUGUUGACGCAUGUGAGCUGCGGGGCCCCGGCUCCCCAGAGGCCCGUGUGUCCCCUGCGCCCACGCCUGUCUCAUGUCACAUUCUCCCCGAGUUCUCAUUCCAGUGAGCUAAUCCCCGAGAAGACGGGCCAGGGCAUUAGCUUUCGGGGCCUCUCGCAGACCGAAAAGGAAAGUGCUCCCUGACGGGUACAUUGCAGGUCCCUGCUGUCGGCUCGGCAGGGAUUUGGGGCCUGCGGUUGGUGACGUGGCAGCCAGCAGGCACACACCUGCUGGCCUCAUGUCACUGACACCCCACUCGGAGGCCCAGGGCUCCAGCUCUAGGACAUAUAAAAUUAAAAAAGGAAUGAUCUUUGGGAUAAAAUAAAUCCCCCAUGUCUGCACAACUUGUUUGGGGAGACGUGCCGGGUCCUGAUCCAUCAGCCAAAUGCUCUUCCUUUUGCGUUUGUAAAAAAACAAAGCUCCCCCAAAUAAAGAAACAAAAAAUGCCCCGCAAACAAAUAAAAACCAAAAAAAAAAAAAAAACCCAAACCCCCAGAAAACGUUUAUUUUAAUUAUGUAAGAAAUGCAUUGGUAAUUAAUACUCUCAUUACUAAAAGUCAAACAGUGCAGAUAGAGCUGACGCCAUCUUCAACGCCCCCUCGGUCCCAGCGCCCCCCGCCCUGACAGAGCAGCUGCUGUUGUCAGUUUCAGUGUCCCUGGCUCCCGUGUUGCCUGCUUCUGAUGUUCCCUAACUGAAACCUGCCUCAUGUUCCUCCCUGGGCCGAUGGGCAGUUUCAGAGGACAGAGCUGUCUGCUCUGCGGCGCUGGUUGGCGUGUUCCAAACACUGUCCAGAUUCUUGCCUCUGCUUUCAAGGGGCGCUGGGACUCUAGAAACUGAGAGGACUUUGAGAAGUUAGUGGCUUGUCCCAGAUCGGCUAGGAGGUGGGACCCGGGAUUCCAACCCAGAAUGAAGGCCCCAGAGUCGGUCUAAUAAUACUCUGUUGGUGAUGAUCUUGGCUGUGACCUCUGCGGGAAAUGAGCCAUGGACCAAGCAGUGUGAGUGAUGGUUAGUGUUGUUUUAAGGUUGGCUGGUGGGUUGAUGGGUGUGUAUGCAUUAUUAAACGUGAAUGCACACAGGUAAAGUCAAAGAUGGCCAAGCGUAGACCAAUGGGGAGACUGUGUCAUGAACCAGGGGGGUGAAUCUCCUUUGGCAUAACUGUCAGCAAAUUAAAAAAUAUUAUAACUAGGCCGUUCUUUUUGUAGGAAAUGAGCAAAUAAAAAGAAACAAUUAUAUUCAUGUUUAAUGAUAUUAAUUGUAUAUAUAUGUAUACAUUUAUAUUCAUAAAUUUUUAACAUAUAUCUGUUUAUAUAAAUGUAAUUGUUACUUAUUCUUGGGUUGAGUGGUAGGUUCAUGUAUCUUUAUUGAUUUAUUAAAAAUAAAUGGAUGAGUACAUAAAUAAAAUCAAAAAGGUCAAGCGUGGACUAAGGAAGACAGUGACCCAAGAUGUAUGAAUGCACAAUUCUGCAAAUUUGAGCGAGAUUUAAACAAAAAUAUCUGUUAUUUUAUUUAUUUUAGUAGCAUUCUAUAUUAAUUUAUACACUAUGGUUUAUAUAAACACUUCCUCAUUGGUGAAGUUUAGGCUAUUAACUCAAGGGGAAAGGUGCAUGUAGAGAUGUAAGGUAUUGGUAACUUUCUAUUUGUUGGAUAAGAUUCAUGGGUAUUCUUUUAUGGUGUUUUUAAAGGGAUGAAUAAAAUUUAAAAAGGCCAAGCAUGCACCAAUGAGGAUAAUGUUUCAUAAACUAAGGAUGAUUAAUUCAAUUAUACACAAGUGAUAGCUGUUAAAAAUGAUAUUCAUUUUUAAACAGUUGCUUUCUGUUGCACAACAUGGACACACUAGAGUUUAUUGACUCACACAAUAUUUAUGGGGAUUUUAGCUCUUAUUUGGGCGGAUAAAGUAUGUAAAGAAAAUGUAAGUAAUGGUCAAGGUACUUAAAUUUUUGGCUGGUAAGUUGUUCAAGACAAGGAAAUAAGCAAGUAAAUGAAUGAAUGAAUAAAUUAACAAAUAAAACAAGAGAGGGCAGACAUGGGCCAUGAAGAUAUUAUCUCAUUAUCCCAGAAUUAAGGUUAUUCUAAUUCUGUACAUCCAAGGUCCAUUUAAAAAAUGUGUUGGUUGAGGAGUAAAGAGUCAAUAUUCUUGUUUUUGCAUGGUGGUGUGUUGGAUGUCGAUUUCCAUCCUAAAAAUAAAUAAUUAUAUAAAUGUAUAAAAUGCAACAGAUAUCGAAAUAUCAGCUGGUGAUGAGAGUGGCCCAAGGAUUAAAGGAUUACAGUUACGUCAGUUCUGUGUUCUUGACUUCUAUAAAAAUAAUCUAGCCUGCUUCAUUCCUUUUCCCAGCUGUUUUGUUUUGCAUUGUGUAUAUGUACAGAGUUUCCUUAAGCAUUCCUCUGUGGAUAAAGACCUAGUCUAUUAAUUCUUUGAGCAAGGAGCACAAAGGAAGGUGAGAGAGAAAAUGUCAGUGUUCUACUUGUGGAGUAAGAGAUUGGAUUCAUGAUUGCUCACUAAAAACUUCUUUAGAGAUGAUCAAAUCAAAGAAAAGAGAAUCAGUAUGGACCAAAUGAUCAAUAAUUAUGAUUAAUCCAAUUUAGCUUCAUUAGGAAAAGUUCUAGACAAUUACCUGAGGGUAAAGGGUCUAUGCUAGAGCUGUCCAGUAGAACUUUUUGCCGUGAUGGACGUGUUCUAUAAUUUGUUCUGUCCAAUAUAGCAGCCACUAGCUAUGUGUGACUAUGAGCACUUGAAAUGUGGCUAAUGUGAAUGAAUAACUGAAUUUUUAAUUUUAGUUGAUUUUUAUUAAUUUGUGUUUAAAUAGUCAUGUGUGGCUAAUCUCUCAGGUGCAUUGAGUGGUUGGUUAAUGGGAGUUUCUUGAAUAUUAAAUAUGAAUAAAUAAAUAGAUGAAUUAAUAGAGUUAGUUAUGGGCCAGAGAGGAGGGUGUACCAUGAAAAAAGAUUGUAAUUAAUCCAGUUCUGCACAGCUGAGAUUCCCUGGCAAAAAAGUCAUGAAAGUUCAUGAAAAAUAGACAUAGGCUUAUUCACCUAUUUCAUCAACUAUUCAGUGUUACCUUGAAUGUCUGCCCCACAGUUUAUGUGAACAUUUCUCUAAUGUUGAAGAUCUAUGUAUCUGGGUGGGAAACGGUCAAAAAUCUAUUGUCAAAGUUGUAAUUGAUGGGUUGAAUAAUGGUUUUAUAUAUAUUUAUUAUAUUAUUUACUUCAAAAAAUGAAUAAUAAAUAAUAAGAGUCCAUGCAUGGUGCAAGGAUGGUAACGUGACAUGGAACGAAGUUUGUGAUUAAUACAAGUCAUCACAAACUGUGGUCCAUAAAUAAAAGGUCUCUUUUACAUUUGUUGGUGAGGAACAUAUGGCAGAUGUAAGUAAUUGUCAAUGUAUGUAAAGAGGACUAAACAUGGACCAGUGAUGAAAGUGUAUCGUGACCCAAAUAUUUAUGUUAAUACGUUUCUGCUCAACUGAAGUCCAUUAUAUAAAGGUCUUUGCUUCUCCAUUUGUGGAUAAAAAUUACAAAGGUUGUCUACCUUUCUAUCUAUCAUCUAUGACUUAUAUCUCUAUAUAUUAUAUAUGGAUAUAAAUAAUAGUUUUUCUUGGGUUUGAUGGUACAUUCAUGGUGAUUUCAUUGAUGAUAUUAUAAAAAUCAAUAAAUGAAUGAAUUCCUAAAAAUAAAGGGCAGGACAUGUAUGCAUUAGUCACUGCUGUGACAAUGCUGCAUAACAAGUAACCCACAAUUUCAGUGGCUGACAAAGUAGUAGCAACAACAACAUUUCUUUCUCACAUGUGGGUCGGUGGGCCUCUUGCAGCAGUUAUGCUGCAGGCUGUGGGCUGGGUUUGCAUCUGCACGCCCCCCCUACCCCCCUGCCUUCUUAUUCUAGGUCCCUAGAUAAAGGAGUUGUAGUGUCUAGGACAUACUCUUCUUAUGGUGAAGGCUUGACGCUCCAGAGGCUAAGCAAAACCACCCAAGCUCGUUUAAAGCCUCUGCUCUAAGUCCCAUGUGGUUUGUCACAUCCACUCAUACUCCAUUGGGCAAUGCAAGUCAUGGCCAGGCACAACAUACUGGUGUCGGGAAGGAUAUUCUUCCCAUGGGGGAGAGGGAAGGGAGAGGGAAUACCUGCUGAAAAACAGCAUAACCUGCCACAUUUCCCCCAAUUGGUAAGAAAUAUUUACUUCAUGUCCAUACGAGAAAUACAGUUAUUCUCUCUUCAAAACGUCCCGGAAGUCCAUAAAACCAGUGCUCCAGUUCAAAGUCCAGAGCAUCCUGAUCCGCUGCUGGUUUGGCUCUGCCUCUUCUUUAUUUAGAGACUUGUAAACUAGAGACAGGUUAUCUGUCCCCACAUGGUAAACAUGCUGUGUUGGAACCACUCCUGCUUGCAAAGGGAGAGAACAGGAGGCACAGAGCUGUCCACUGCAUCGCAGCUCUGGAACCCUGAUCGGCAGGGGCUGUGCGAUCUCCCUACCUGUGGCUGUCACCUGCAGGGGAAGGAGAAGAAAGACAGAUGUUGGUACUGGUCAUCAUUCUUAUUCUUACUUUAGGUGAGCAAUUCAAUGGCAUUCAUUGAAAUUAUAAUUGAGAAUUGUUAAUUGAUUAGAUCAGUAAAAAAUGGAGUAUUGUUUGUGGGUCAAUGGUGAGAAGGAGGGUCAAGCAUGGACCAAGGUUGAGAAUGUGGCACAAGCCAAGUGUUAUGGUUAAUCCAGUAUUUAACAACUGACGUUUAUUUAAAAAAUUUAAUAUCUUUCAGUCUUUUUCACAUCUGCUUUCUGUUCUGCAGGAUGAAUGCUCUAGAGCUGAUUAGCCAUUUUAUAAUGAUGAAUGGCUUCCCUCUGUGGGUAAGGAGCAUGGAGGCUGAUGUGAGUGACAGAGUUCUUGUUCUUGGUUUGGAUCCUUUGCUCAUGGAUGUUGACUGUAUAACCAAGAAACCAAUGGCUCCAUAUUUUGAUAAUAUCACAGGAGGCCAUGUGUGAACCAGCGAUGAGAGUGAUACGAACCAAGGAUUACGAUGAAUCCAAUUCAACACAACUUAAUCCUAUUAAAAAUACACUAUGGCCAUUUUAUUUAUGUUAUUCGCAUUUUAAUGUUCCAUAUUAAUUUUAUACCACUCUUGAUUUAAACAUUCCUCCAUUGAUAAAGAUUUAUGCUUGAGAGGGUAGCCCAUAGGAAGAUGGACAGAUAUUCUCAAUGUUCUAUUGUGGGAGAAGAUGGUGGGUUCAUAGUGGUUCAUUGAAUCAUCUUUGAAAUAUAGACGAAUUAAAAGAAAGAGGGCUAAGAACAGGCCAGUGAUGAGUGUGCGAGUGCUAUGGAGCAAGACUGUUGAUUGACUCAUGUUAUUGAUCAUUACAGAAAGACAUCUAGUGUAUUAUUUCUGUGGGAAAUUAUGCACAUGUGUUGUCCAGUACAGUGGCAACUAGCCACAGGUAGCUACUGUGCAUCUGGAAUGUGGCUGGUCUGAAUUGAUAUGUGAUCUAUGUGGAAAAUACACACCAAAUUUGGAAGAGUCAGAACAAAAAAUAAAAUAUUUCGUUAAUAGUUUAUAUUUAUUACAUGUUGAAAUGGAUAGUAUUUUAGAUAUAUUGGGUUAAAUAAAAUAUACAAUUGUAAUUGAUUUCACCUGUUUCUUUUUACUUUUAAAAAGUGUAGAUUCUAGAAAACUUAAAGUAUAUGAGUGGUGGGGCCGGCCCCAUGGUGUAGUGGUUAAGUUCAGUGUGCUCUGCUUCAGUGGCCCAAGAUGUGGGUUCAGAUCCUGGGUGCAGACUUACAUCACUUGCCAGCCAUGCUGUGGCGGUGACCCACAUAUAAAGUGGAGGAAGAUUGGCACAGAUGUUAGUUCAGGGCUAAUCUUCCUCAGCCAAAAAAAAAAAUAUAUAUAGAUAGAUAGAUAUCUAUCUAUCUAUCUAUAUAUAUAAGUGGCUUACAUUAUAUUUUUAUUGGCCAGCACAGCUAUAGACCAAUGAUAGGAAUAGUCAAGGAUCUUUUCCUUUGUGUUUUUCUGACCUAUGGGUGUUGAUAGCAUUUUUAUUAGCCAAUUAAUGGAUCAAUCAAUUAAAAGGGAAUGAAUAGGAAAAAGCAUACACUAAAUAUUAAGGUAUAUAUUGAAACAAGGAUUACUUUAAACAUUUUUUGAAACCUUGAAACCUGUAAAAAUAAUUUAAAGUGGUUAAUCCCUUUGGGUAAUGAACAUAUGAACAGAUGUGUGUAGUAAUCAAUGCUGUUGGUGUGUCGCUAGUCUUUUUUUCUUUUUUAAGAAAAUAAUCCACAUGGACAAAUCUCUAAUUAAAUAACUAAAUAGAAAAGAGUCAAGGAUGGCAAGUGCUGGGUGAGGACAGCAUAGAGGGCAAAGCUGUUGGUUGAUGCCUAUGGGCACCACUGAAAUCCACUGCAAACACUAUUAGUCUCAGUUCUGGGGAAAAUGAGCCUGUAGCCAGGGGUUAGGAACAUGAUGGGGUCCUAAUUGAGGCAUUUGAGGCUCAUGAAUUUUGAUUACCUUGUUGUGUAAAUGAAUCAAUGCAUAAAUUAAACAAAUGUAUAAAUGAAUGAAAAAAACAAAGGCAAGUGUGGACCAAUGAUAAGUGUAUAUAAUGAAGCAAGAAUUAUUAUUAAUAUGUUUUUGAAGCAAUGAAGUCCAUUUAAAAAAAAGGGCACUGAUGUCAAUUUCUAAGAAAGGGCAGAUUCUUAGAUAUUCUCAUAAUAGAUGUUUACGUAAAUAGGAAAAUUGAGGAGGACCAAUGUUAACAUUGUGUGAGAUGAUAAGAAUUAUAAUUAAUCCAGUUUAUUCCUUGAGUUCGUUAAACAGCAACAAAUAUCUAGUUGGUUAUCUCUGUAGAUAAUGAACAGGUUGACAGAUGUUAGUUUUAUUUAGAGUUUUUGACCAUUUGCUUCGGAUUCCAAGCUACAGAUUGUCAGGGAAUGAAUGAAUAAAUUUAUGUCACAGUCCGUUAGUUAAAAGGGGGCAAAUCAGUGACCAUCUGAUGAACAUAAGUUACAAAGCAAGUAUUAGGAUAAGUUCAGUCUUCGUUGCUGAUGUCCAUGAAGAGGACAUAAAGUCUAGGCUCCAACCUAUUUGUUUAAAGUUCACAGGUAGAUUCGUGUUAAGUUUUUGCGGAUAGUAGAUUUACUUUUUUUUUUGCCAAGGAAGAUUUGCCCUGAGCUAACAUCUUGCUAAUCUUCCUCUGUUUUGUAUGUGGGGUGCUGCCACAGCAUGGCUGCUGAUGGUCGUAUGGGUCUGCACCCGAGAUCUGAACCCAGGCUGCUGAAGCAGAGUGCACCAAACUUAACUACCCUGUGAGGCUGGCCCCUGGAUUUACUCUCGUUAAUUAUCUUCUAAGCAAUAGAUACAGGAUUAAAUUAAUUUGUAACUAAUCAAAUUAAAUAAUAAAUAAGCACAUAGAUAAAUACAUAAAGAGAGUCAAGAAUGAACACUGGAAAAAUGUGCCGUGAAACAAUUUUAGAUUAAUCCAACUUGGAACAAGUGAGGUCCAUCAAAGAAGGAAAAGAUGAAAGAAGGUACUUUAUUCAUUUUACAGUUGUUUAAUAUUUCGUUUUUCACCGCUGCUGAUUUACACAUUCCACCAGUGAUAAAGAUGUAGAUUUCUCACCUGUUGAGAGAGAAAACACAAGGAAAGAUGGAAGAUAGGGAAGUAAAUGAGACGUUCCUGGAUUUUCUUUGUUACGUGUUUAAAAUUUGAACAAAUUAAAGAAAGACUAAAGAACAGGGCCAAGCAUGGCUAUAAUGAGUGCGGGUUUGGAUAAAGAAUGUUGGCUGAUCCAUGUGUGCAGCAGUGAGGUCCACUGCGGUAAGAGGUCUCAUGUAUUCGUUCUGGGAGAAAUUUGCCAAAAGUCGGAAGUUAGUAAUAUUCUUGUAUCUUAUUCUUGCUUUGUUGUGAUUAAUGGAUAUUAAGUAAUUAUUAGUCAAUUAAUGCAUGAACUAAUGCACAAAUGUGUAAGUGAAUAAAGAAAAAAGUCCCAAGCCUGGAUCAAUGAUGAGUACCCUGGGGUGUCUGAACCAAGGAUUUUGAUUAAAAUCUGUAACUCUGACGUCCACUCUAAAAAUGAAUCUAAUUUCCUACCUUAAUGGGGCAUGAGCUUGUAGCUCCAGUUAGGAAUGCAGGCAUCUUGCUUUUGGCUUUGGUAGAUCUUAGGUAUGGAUCCUUUUAUUAGUGAACUAGGGCAUGAGUUAACAAGGAAACCUAUCAGUGAAUGCAGACAAAGCGGCCUGGAUAAGCUCUAAUUAUGAGAGUACGUAAUGAGAUAGGAAUUGUUAUUAGCACAGUGCUGAGGAGCCGAGGUCCAGUAUGCGAAGAGUGCAAGGCUUUUUCUGUGUCGAUUAGGAACGUGUGGGCAGAUGUAGGUAAGAGUCAGUGUUGUUUCUCGGUUGAUGGUUGUUAACUGUAUUAAGAAUUUUAUUAAGAAAAGGGGAAAAAGGAGAAACAUAACAAUCAAUUACAGAACUACCUAAUUAAAGACCAAGCAUGGGCCAAUGUUAAGAAUGCGUUAUAUGAGAGGAGUUACGAUUAAAUAAGUGCUCCUCAGUUAGCAUCGUUUUUGAAAAACACAUCUAGUUGUUUUUCUGUGGGCAUUGAGUUUAUGGGCAGAAGUUAGUGUUAUUUAGGACUCUUGCCCAGGGUAUGCUGGUUCACGAAUAUCGAUGAAGUGAAUGAAGGAAGUGAUUAUUUAAAGGAGGACAAACAUGGACCACUGAGGAUAGACUAUGUUGUUAAAAAAAGUUUAUUAAUCUCACUCUGCUCUUCUGAUGUCCAUAUAAAUAAAGGGGGACUGGGAUUCUGUGUGCUCUGGGUGAAGUGCAUCGAGACAGUUCCCUGUAGUUGUAUUUUAGACCAGUUUGCGUUUGAUUUGAAAAGAAUGAAAAUAUGAACAAGUUAUUGCAUGAGUAGAUAAAUACAAAACAAAUGAAAAAAUUUGUAAAGUAGGGUCAAGCAUGGAUCAUUGGUGAGACUAUGUCAAGACAGAAGGAUGUCAAUUUAUCCAAUUCUAAUCAAGGAAGACCCAUAAAGAAGAUGAUCUGGGCUCUUACCGCUGGAAGGUUUAAUGGACAGUUGGAACAGGCGUACUUCUCAGUUCCUCUGCUAGCAUGUAUAUCCAGCAACUGUCAUCAUAUCACAUUAAUUAACAUACAUUAACAUACAUUAAUAAUUAAAAUAAGUAAAAAGGGGACCAUUCUUAGGCUAAUGGAAUGGGAUGAAAACAGGGGUUUAUGAUAAAUCUGGUACAGCAGGACUAAGGUCUCUUAAAAAAAACUAAAUCUACACUGCUUUUUCAAUUUUCUAAAAUCUACUUUUUACUCCACAGAUUCAAUAUACCCAAUCUGAUUUAUUCGUUAUCCAGUGAUGAAGAUCUUGGCUGUCACUUCUGUGGAUAAGGAGCAGAGGAACUCAUGUAAGGAACAAAGUUCGUGUUCCUGGUGUGCAGUGCGUUUUCCCCAAGUGAACACCACAGAUGAUUUAGUCAUUCUCUGAUGCUAAAGCUCCUGGCUUUUACAAAACCUGUGGGUAAGGAGACAAGAGACUGAUGUAAGUGAUGGUUAAUGUUCUUGCUUGGGAGGUUGGUUUAUGGGUGCUGCUUUCAUUUUUCAAAGUAAUAAAUGGGUAUGUUAAUAAAUAAACCAAAUAACACCAGCACAGACCAGAAUUGAGAUUUAUGAUUAAUCUGAUUAGUACUACUAAAAUCCAAUAAAAAAGACUCCGAGUGUUUCAUUUAUUUUCAGGGCUGCUUCACAUUGUGUUUUAUUUUUCAUUGCACUUCAUUUAAGUACCUCUCCACUGAUAAAGAUUUAGGCAGUUAAUUCCUUGAGGGAGGAGCAGAGAGGAAGAUGGACAAUAUUGUUGGUGUUCUAGUUGUGGAGUAAGAUUAUAGGUCCCUUUGCUAUUUAUUGAACCAUCUUUAAAUGAAAAAAGGACCAAGCGGGGACCAAUGGAACUGACAUGAAACAAGGAUGAUGAUUAAUUUAUAUAUGUCAAAAGCACAUAUAUAUGUUGCAAAAAGCAGCUUCAUCUGUUAGCACUUUGGGAAACGGGCAUACAGACAGUUAUUAGUGAUCGUCAAGGAUGUUGUUCUUGGGCUUUUUGAUUCAUGAGAAUUGAUUAUAUUAUUAUUAGUGAAUCAAUGAAUAAAGGAAUAAACAAUGCAUAAAUAAAGGAAGAAAAAGAUGUCUAGUGUCAAUGAGUCAUGUCAAUGAGUGUUCCCAAAAGUAUAAAUCAAAGAUUUUGAUUAAACUCUGUAACUUUGAGGUUCAUUAGAGAAAAGAAAUCUAAUUAUUUCCUCUGUCGGGGAGGGGCUUGCAGCAGAAGUUAGGAGGAGUGGAAGAUCUGCUUCUCGAGCUUUGGUUCUUAAUGUCUGAAAUGUAUCGUAAGUGGAGCAAUGAAAGAAUGAAUAAAGAUGUGUAAAUGAAUGAUGGCCAAUUAAUUUGAGUCUGCACUGAAAUAAGGAUGAUUGUUAUAUUAUUUCCUGAACCAGAGUUCCAUAAGCUAAACAGGUCAGGUCUUCCUUACUGUCUUCCAUAAAGGAUCUAACUAUUGUGUGAGAGUCCAUAUUGUUGUUUUGGAUUCGUGGUUGGUAUGUGGUUGUUGGUUUUAUUUAGAAAAGGAACAAAUUAUUUACAUUAAAAGUAAUUGUUUAAGCAAGUGCCUAAUUGAAAGAAGGCCAAGCAUGGACUAACAUUGAGAACAUGAUGGGAAGUAUGCACACACAGUUCUCUUCACUGACUAUUGCUUAAAAAAGCAAAAAAGAAUCUAGCAGGUUCUGUCUGUGGGUAGUCAGCAUGUAGACAGAUAUUGGUAUCAGUCCAUGUUCUUGUCCAGUGUCUUGGCUGGCAUUCGUUUUGAAUGUAUUGUUAAAAAUGAGUGAACGAGUGAGUUCAUAUUUUGGCCAAUUAUUUAAAAGAUGGAAGAGCGUGGGUCAGUGAGGAGAUGUCAUGAAAGAACAAGAUAAUGAUUAAAUCAUUUUAGACGAAGAAAAAGAAAUCUAGACUUACCCCACUUUAGACAAGGUAUGUAUCAGCAGCUACAUGAAAUGGUAUUUCAAUUCUGGAUUACUGGUGGGUUUUACUCUUUUUCUCUUAAAAAUGAAUAAAUGAUCAAAUUAUUCUUUGAGUAAUUAAAUAAGAGGAUAACAUGAAUGAGUCAGUAAAUGUACAGAUUAGGGUAAAUUUUGGACCAGUGCUUCAUGGCACACUCUAAGCAGUUCACGACUAUGGCCCCUUAAAAAAGAUUAAUGAGGUGUGAACUAUGUGGUUAGGGGCUACGUAGAUGGAUAGUGGUACUGCUUACAUUUAUUACUCUUGGUGGAUUUAACAGUGUUCACUGCAUUAACUAAAAAUUAAUGGGCCAGCCCUGAUGGCCUAGCGGUUAGAGUUCAGCGCUCACUGCUUUGGCAGCCUGGGUUCCUUUCCUGGUCCCGGAACCACACCACCCGUCUGUCAGUUUCCAUGGUGUGGCAGCAGCUCACACGGAAGAACUAGAAGGAUUUACCACUAGGAUAUACAGCCAUGCACUUGGGCUUUGGGGAGAAAAAAAGAAGAGGAAGACUGGCAACAGAUGUUAGCGCGGGGUGAAUUUUUCCCUGCAGGACAAAAAAAAAAAAAAAAAAAAAAUUCAACACUAAAUAGUCAAUACAUAGAAAGCAGUCAUUCUUGAGUCAGUAAUGGGAACAUGAUAGGAAACAAAGUUUAUGAUUAAUCUAGUACUUCAUGACUCCAGUCCAUUAAAAAAAAAAGGUAUCUAGGCUGUUUGAUUCUUUAUAAGAUGUGCAUUUUAUUUCACAGAAUGAAAACAUCAGAGCUGGAUUUAGUUAUUCAAUAGUGAUAAAGAUUUUAGCUUUUACCCCCGUGGUCGAGGAGCCUAGAGGCUGUAGUAGAUACUGGUCAAAAUUCACGUCCUUGGUUUAGGUAGUUUGUUCAUCACCACAUUAUGCGAAAGGAAUAAGUGCUAAAUACAUAGAUAAAAUCAUGUAUUUAACAUCAAAAUAUUGGCCAUGCAGGGACCAAUAAUGGAAAUUAACCAAAGUUGACGGUUAAUUCAAUUCAGUGCAAUGGAGGUCAAUUAAAAAUGAUGGAGGGCUUUUAUUCAUUUUCAGAGUUUUUAAUAUAUUUUAUUUUGUACCAUGGUUAACUUAAACAUUUCUUCAAUGAUAAAGAUCUAGGCCGUUAAAUCCUCGAGAAGGGAGCAGAUAGGAACAAGGAAGAUAGUGUCAGUGUCCUCAUUGUGAGAUAGGACAGUGGUUGGUUGAUCAUUGUUUUGCAUCUGUUGUCUACUGCUCUGUAACAAAUUACCCUACAUUUUGAUGGCUUAAAACAAUAGGAAGCAUUUAUCUGUCACAGUUUCUAUGGGGCAGGAAUCCAGGAGAGGCUUAGUGGGCCAUUUUGGCUUAGGGGCUCUUGUGAGGUUGUACUCAAGAUGUCAGGUAGAAUUGCAGUCAUCUGAAAGCUUGACUGGGGCUGGAGGGUCUGCUUCCAUGGCUCCCUCACAGGGGUGGAGGGUUUGUGCCGCUUAUUGGUGGUGGGCCACAGUUUCUUCCUACAUGGACCUCUCCUCAGGACUGCUCAAGUGUCGUCACAGCAUGACCGCUGACUUCCCUUAGAGCAAUCAGUCCAAGAGAGAGGAAUGAGGAAGUCUCAGAGUGUUUAUAAGCUAGACUCGGAGGUCGUGCACCAUCACUGCUGCAGUAUUCUGUUGGUCAUAGAGGCCAGGCAUGGUUUAACACGGACCAUGGAUACCAGGAGUCUUGAUUCGUUGGGAGCCCUCUUGGAGGCUAGCUACCACACAUACUGUCUUUAAACAUGGAGAAAUUAAAUAAAAGAAGGGCAAGCACGGACAAAGUAUAAAUAUAGGAUUGAUGCGAAGUGAGGAGGUUGAAAAUCUGUAUGUAUAGUGCUGAGAGCCAUUGCAAAAAAGAUGUAGUCUCUUAGUUUUAUGGAAAACAAACCUAUAGACACAGCUUAGUAAGGUUGUAGGAUAUUGUUUUAGGUCUUUUUUUCUCUUUUUAGUGAGGAAGAUUGUCCUUGAGCUGACAUCUGUGCCAGUCUUCCUCUAUUUUAUAUGUGGGACACCGCCACAGUAUGGCUUGAUGAGCCAUGUGUAGGUCUGUGCCCAGGAUCCGAACCUGUGAACCCCGGGCUGCUGAAGUGGAGCAUGCAAACUUAGCCACUACGCCACCAGGCUGGCCCCUAGUUUUAGGUUUUUUGAUUCGUGUAUAUUGACUUUAUAAUUAUUAGUGACUUAACGAGGGAAUCAAUAAAUGAAGAUAUGAAGGAAUGAAGAAAAGGGUGCCAUGUUUGGACCAAUAAUGAAUAUCCUAGGGUGUCUAAACAAUGAUUUUGAUUAAACUCUACAACUGUGAGGUCAGAGACCUCGGUAAUGCCUAAAUGGUGAAUGAGUUUACAGCAGAAGUUAGUAAUACUCAGGGUUUUGCUCUUAGGCCAUUAAAGUUCAUAGGUCUGGAUUGUAUUACUAUAAGUGAACUCAUAAAUGAAUGAAUAAACAAAUAGAUAAAUUAAGACAAGGAGAGCCAUAUGUGGCCCAAUUAUGAGAGUGUGUAAUGUGUUUAUUAUCAUUAAUACAUUUCCUAAGCACUCAGUUCCAACGUAAAUUGAUUAAAUCUGAUAGCUAUUUGGGUAAGGAGCGUAGAGAGAUAAGUACCUAGAAAUCCAUGUUGUUGUUGUUCUGCACGGUUGGGGAAGUGCUGGUUGCUUAUUGAAAACAAGAAGAUAUGACCCAGUUGCUUAUAUCUGGGAAUAAUGAGCACAUGAAUCACUGUUAAUACCAUUCAGAUUUCUCAUCCAGUGUGUAUGUUCACAGAUAUUGAUGAUAUUAUGAGUGAAUGCAUAAGUACCUUUAUCUCUCAACCAGUUAUUUUGGAAAGGGUGGAGCAGGAUUUCUCAACCUCAUACUAUUGACAUCCCAGGCUUGAUAAUUCCUGGUUGUGGCAGGCUGUCCUGUAUGUUGUAGGAUGUGUAGUAACUUCACUGCCUCUACUCACUAGAUACCAAAGUUGACUUUCUUCUCCCAGUUGUGACAAUCAAAAAUGUCUCCAGACAUUGACAAAUAUCACCUGGGAGCAACAGUGCACCCAUUGAGAACCACUGGGGUAAAGCGUGGACCAAUGAGGAGCAUGUGUUGAAAAAACAAUGUGAAUUAUUUGUCCUGUUGUACUUAUUGAUACUCAGAUAAAGAAACAGACACAUAAACUAGACCCCUCCCACUUUGGGUCAGGUUCGUAUGUAUAGUUGCAUUUAAUUGUAUUGUAAUUUAGCUGUUGAUGGUUUGGUCAUAUUGUGUUUUCUCUGGAAAAAUAAACUGAUGUUCAAAUUAUUCAAAUUAGCUCAUGUACAAAAAUGAAUAAAUAAAGCAAUGAAUGAAUAAAUACAUUACAGAAGGUAGGGUCUAGGAUGGACUGUUGGUGAAAAUGUGCCAGGAAAGUAGUAUUUAAAUGUAUCCAGUCCUGCACAAGUGACAUUCAUUAUUAGGAAAAAUGUUCUAGGUUCUUACCAUGUGGGUAGAGAGUACGUAGAGGGAUACUUACAAUAGUCAUCUCUUAUUCUUGUGUUGGGUUAGUAAAUAACAUGCCAGACCAUUCUUGGACCAUUGAUUGAAAUGUGACAUGAAUCAAGGUUUAUGAUUAAUCUAGUACAGGCCUACUAAUACCCCUUAGAAAAUUUAAAUGUAGACUCUUAUAUACUUUUUAAAGUCUGCUUUUAUUCCACACAACGGGUACACCAUACCCAACUUAAUUAUUCUCCAUUGAUGAAAAUCUUGGCUGUCCUUUCUGUGGGUAAAAAGUAUGGGAACAGAUCUAAGUAACAGUCAAAGUUCAUGUUCUUGAUUUGGGGGGUUUGUUCAUGGGUUUUAUUAUUUCAGAGAAAUAAAUAUUUUUUUUAAAUACAUAUUUAAAGAAAAUAAAAAACAUGCAUUGACCAAUGAUAGGAAUGUAUUAUGAAAAACAAAAACAAAAUUAGGUUAUUCCAAUUCAACACAAGUGAGACUGUUUAAAAAAUUAAGAUGGAGGACAUUGCCUUCACUUCACUAUUCCAUUUUGUUUUUGCACCAUAGCUAAUUUAAAUUUUCUCAAGUGACCUAGGCUGUUGACUCUUUAAGGGGAGCACAUAAGAUGGUUGAUAUUGUCAGUGUUUUUGUUGUGGGGUAGGAUGAGGGGGUUCCUGCUCAUUUAUUGUUCCAUAGUUAAAAUACGUCUAAAUUAAACAGAAAGGAGCAAGCAUGGUUCAGCAAUGAGUACAAGAUUUCUAAGAAGCAAGGAAGUUAAUAAUCCAUGUAUGGGACAUUGAGAUUCAUCUGUUGAUCUUAGCAAUGUCAAGGUUCUUAUUGUUGAGAUUUUGGGAUUUUUGUGUGUUGAUUUUGUGAUUAUUAAUGAAUCAGUGAAUGAAUCAAUAAAACAAGGUUCAAAUGGUUGAAGUAAAAGAGUUGCAAACCCAGACCAAUAAUGAGUGUCCUGGGAUGGCUGAGUCAAGAAUUUUGAUUAAGCCCUAUACCUCUGAGAUACAUUAGAAAAAGAAAAUUAUUAUCUCUGUGGGAAAUGAGCGUAUAGGAAAAGUUAGGAAAAUUCAGAUCUUGUUCUUGGUCUGUUGAGGUUCUUGAGUAUAGAUUAUAUUUUUGUGAGUAAAUCAAUGCGUGAAUAAAAGAAUCAAAUAUGUAAAUGGAUAAAGACAAGGAGGGCCUUGAUUGGGCCAAGCUUAUGAGAGUAUAUAAUGAACUAAGGAACAGGACUAAUACCAUUUGGAUGUGCUGAAUUCCCCUAAAAUAAAUAGAUUAAGGCUCUUAUGCUUUUGGGUAAGGAACAUUAGAGGACAACUGUACGUAGGAGUCAGUGUUACUGUUGAUGGGUAACAGGUUUUUUAAAAUGUUGCCUCCUUUUGCAAAAGACUUCGUUAUUUUAGAGCAGUUUUAGGUGCAAAAUUUAGUGGAAUGUAGAGAUUUCCUGUAGUCUCUGCCUCCACACAUGCAUAGCCUCCCCCACUAUCAACAUCCCCCACAGGAGUGAUACAUUUCUUAAAACUGAUGAACCGACAUUGACAUCAUUAUCACUCAGAGUCCAUAAUUUACAUCAGGGUCCACUCUUGGUUGUAUAUUCAGUAGUUUUGGAUAAAUGUAUAAUGAUAUGUGUCCACCAUUAUAAUUUCAUACAGAAUAUUUCUCUGCCCUAAAAUUCCUCUGUGCUCUGCCUAUUUAUGCCUCUCUAACCUCUGGCAACUACUUUUACUGUCAUCAUAGUUUUGCCUUUUCCAGAAUCUCAUAUAGUUGGAAUCCUAGAGUUUGUAGCCUUUUCAUAUUGUCCUCUUUUACUUAGUAAUAUGCGUUUAGGUUCCUUCAUAUCUUUUCAUGGCUCCAUAGCUCAUUUCUUUGUAGUGCUAAAUAAUCUUCCAUUGUCUGGGUGGCCCACAGUUUAUUUAUUCAUUCACCUACUGAAGGACGUCUUGGUUGCUUCCAAGUUUUGGCAAUUAUGAAUGAAGCUGCUAUAAUUAUCCUUGUGCAGGUUUUUGUGUGGACGUAAGUUUUCAGCUCCUUUGAGUAAAUACCAAGGAGUGCAAUUCCUGCCUUGUAUGGUAAGAGUAUGUUUAAUUUUGCAGAAAACUGGCACAUUGUCUUCCAUUCCCACCAGCAAUGAAUGAGAGUUCCUGUCGCUCCACAUGCUCUCCAGCAUUUGGUGUUAUGAGUGUUCUGGAUUUUGGACAUUCUGAUAACUAUGUAGUGGUGUCUCGUUGUUUUAAUUUGUGUUUCCCAAAUGACAGAGGAUGUGGAGCAUCUUUUCAUGUGCUUAUUUGCCAUCUGUAUAUCUUCUUUGGUGAGGAGUCUGUUAAGGUCUUUGGCUCAUUUUUUAAUUGGGUUGUUUGUUUUCUUAUUGUUUAUUUUUAAGAGUUCUUUGUAUGUUUUGAAUAACAGUCCUUUAUCAGAUAUGUCUUUUGCAAAUAUUUUCUCCUAGUCUGUGCCUUGUUUUUUGUUCCCUUGACAGUUUCUUCAAAGAGCAGAAACUUAAUUUUAAUGAAUUCCAGCUCACCAAUUAUUUCUCUUACAUAUUGUCUUUUGUGAUGUAUAUAAAAAGUCAUUGCCAAACCCAGGGUCAUCUAGAUUUUCUCCUUUGUUAUCUUCUAGGAGGUUUAUAGUUUUACAUUUUACAUUUCAGUCUGUGAUCCAUUUUGAGUUAAUUUUUGUGAAGUGUAUAAGGCCUGUGUCUAGAUUCCUUUUUUUUUAUGUGGAUGUCCAGUUAUUCCAGCAUCAUUUGUUGAAAAGACUGUCUUUGCUCCAUUGUGUUGCCUUUGAUCCUUUAUCAAAGAUCAGUUGACUGUCUUUAUGUGGGCCUAUUUCUGGGCUCCCUAUUCUAUUCUAUGUAUCCAUUUGUCUUUUCUUUUGCUAAUACCACACUGUCUCAAUUUCUGUAGCUUUAUACUAAAUCUUGGAGUCAGGUAUUGCUGGUCCUUCAACUUUGUUUUUCUUCAAUAUUGUGUUAGCUAUUCUGGGUCUUUUGCCUAUCCGUUCAAACUUUAGAAUCAGUUUCUCUACAUUCACCAAACAAAUUGCUGGGUUUUUGAUUGGUAUUGUAUUGAAUCUAUAGGUCAAUUUGGAAAGACCUGACAUCUUGACAAUAUUGAGUCUUCCUAUCCAUGAACAUGGAAUAUCUCUCUAUUUAUUCUUUGAUUGCUUUCCUCAGAGCUUUGUAGUUUUUCUGUUAUAGUUCUUAUGUAUAUUUUGUUUGAUUUGUAGCUAAGUAUUUCAUUUUUGGGGUGCUAAUGGGAAUAGUAUUUUUUUAAAUUUCAAAUUCUACUUAUUCAUUGCUGGUAUAUAGGAAAGCAACUGACUUUUAUAUAUUAACCUCGUAUCCUGCAAUCUUGCUAUAAUCGCUUAUUAGUUCCAGGAGAUUUUUGGUUGAUUCUUUCAAAUCUACAUAGAUGACCAUGCCAUCUGCAAACAAGGACAGUUUAAUUUCUUCCUUCACUGAUAAUAUAAGUUUUAUUUCCUUUUCUUGCCUUAUUGCAUUAGCUAUAACUUCCAGUACAAUAUUGAAAAGGAGUGGUGAGAGGGCUUCUAGUUUCUAGUCAUUAUGAUGUCAGCUCUAGUUCUUUUGUAGAUAUUCUUUGUCAAGUUGAGGAAAUUCCUCUCUAUUCCUAGUUUACUGAGAAUUUUUAUCAUGAAUGGGUGUUGAAGUUUGUCAGAUUUUCUGCACCCGAUGACAUGAUCAUGUGAUUUUUCUUCCUUAGCUUGUUGAUGUGAUGGAUUACAUUAAUUGACUUUUGAGGGUUGAACCAGCCUUGCAUACUUGGGAUAAGUUCUAGUCAAUCAUAGUAUAUUUCUUUUUAUACAUUAUUGGAUUCGAUUUGUUAAUAUUUUGUUGAGACUUGUGCAUCUAUGUUCAUGAGAGAUAGUGUUCUGUACUUUUCUUAUUUCUUUUUCUGGGUUCAAUAUUAGGGUAGUGUUGGCCUCCUAGAAUGAGUUAGGUAGUAUAUCUUCUGUGUCUAUCUUCUGAAAGAGACUUUAGAGAAUUGGUAUAAUUUCUCCCUUAAAUAGUAGGUAGAAUUCAUCAGUGAAGCAACCUAGGCCUGGUGCUUUCUGUUUUGGAAGGUUAUUAAUUGUUGAUUUAAUUUCUUUAAUAGAUAUUUGCCUAUUCAUAUUGUCUACUUCUUCUUGUAUGAAUUUCGGCAAACUUUGUCUUUCAAGGAGUUGGUCCAUUUCAUGUCUGUUAUCAAAUUUGGGGCAUAGAAUACUUCCUAGUAUUCCUUGAACGUCCUUUUAACGUCUAAGCGAUUUGUAACGAUGUCCCCUCUUUCAUUUCAGAUAUUACAAUUUGUGCCCUCUCUCUUUUUUUCCUCAGUUAGCCUGGCUAGAGGCUUACUGAUUUUUCCAAAGAACCAGCUUUCAGUUUCAUUGAUUUUUCUCUGUUGGUUUGUUUUCAGUUUCAUUGAUUUCUACUUUAAUUUUUAUUAUUUCUUUCAUUCUGCUUAUUUUGAGUUUAAUUUGUUCUUCUUUUUCAAGUUUCCUAAAGUAGAAACCUAGAUUACUGAUUUUAGAUCUUUCUUCUUUGCUUUAAAUAAAAAUUGUGUAUAUUUAAGGUAUACAACAUGAUGUUUUCAUAUACAUAUACAUAGUGAAAUGAUUACUACAGUGAAGCUAAUUAACAUUAAUUUCCUCACAGUUAUUGUUUGUUUGUUUUUGUCAUAAGAGCAACUGAAAUCUACUCUAUAAGCAAAUUUCCAGUAUACAAUAUGAUAUUAUUAACUAUUGUUAUCAUGCUGUACAUUUGAUCUCUAGAACUUUUUCAUCCCACAUAACUGCAACUUUGUACCUUUGACUAAUAUCUGUGUAUUUCCUCCACUUCCCCACUCCUGGUAACCACUGUUCUACUCUCUGCUUCUGUGAAAGUGACUUUUUUAGAUUCCACAUAUAAGUGAAAUCGUGCAGUAUUUUUCUUUCUAUGUCUAUCUUUUUUCACUUAGCAUAAUAUUCUCCAGGUUUACUUACAUUGUUGCAAAUGAAAGCAUCACCUUUUUUUAAGGCUUAAUAAUAUUCUACUGUAGAUAUACCACAAUUGCUUUGUUUAUUCAUCUGUCAACAGACGCUUAGGUCUUCUUUUCUUAUAUAUGCAUUUAAUGCUAUAAAUUUCCCUACAAGUACUGCUUUUGUUGCAUCCAUUUUUUUGGGUGGGGGGAACAGGAAACAUUUACAUAAAUAGACAAUUGAUUGAGAAUAUAUCUCAUUGAAUGAGAAGCAAGUAUAGACACAUGUUGGCAAAGUGUUAUAUGAGAAGUAUUGGGAUUGAUCAGAUCGUAUUCACUAAACUUUAAUAACAACCCAAAAGUGAUCUAGUCAGUUAUUUCUGUGACUAACAAGUAGAUAGACAGAUGUUAGUAUCAUUCAGGAUUUAUUUCUAGUGUCUUUGCAUUCAUAGAUAUUGACAUGUUAUAAUUCAAUGAAUGAAUAAAAUUCUGUUUUAGUUAUAUAAAAUAAGACAAAGCUCACAUCAAUGAAGACCAUGUCGUAGGUGGCACUGAUAAUUAUUAAUUUGAGUUUUCACUACUGAUGUUUAUAGAAAGAAAAAAUUCCUAGCCCACCCCAGUUUUUGCUAAGGUAUGUGUAGGUGAUGGCAUAUAACAGUAUUUCUGUUGUGAAUUACUGGCUGGUUUGCCAUUUCACCUUUGUAUAAUGAGCAUAUGGUCAAAUCAUUCCAUGAGUAAUUAAAUAAAUGAAUAAUCGAAUGAACAAAUGAACAUAUAAAAUGCAAUCAACCAUGAGUCAUCACUGAGAGCUUGAAAUUAGGAUGCAAAUGUACCCAAUUCUGUAAAAGUAGCAUUCAUUCAAAUGUUCUUUUAUUCUGUGAAAAGUUUUAAAAUAUAAAGAUAUUUUUGAUAGACAUUUUUCUUAUUCUUAUUCAGCAGUGGCUAUUACAUUGUUUAAAAGUAAAAGUAAAAUACUAUCCUAAUUAAACUAUUUAGUUUUACAUAAUUAGUAUACAUUAAAAAAUUAGGAUAAUUCUGCUUUUUCCUCCCCAGAAUGACCAUGGGACAGUGGACUUACUCAUUUUCUAAGUGGGUAAAGAACACAGAGACAAACGUAAGUCCCACUGCAAGUUCCCAUCCUUGGUUGGGAUGCUUUGUUCACUAGUGUUUAGCGUUAUUUGAAAAGAACCAAUGUCUGUAUACGAACUAAAAUUCCCCAAGUAUGGACCAGUGAUGGGAAUAUGUUAUGAAUCAAAAAUCGUGUUUAAUCUAAUUCGGCACAACUGAAAUGAUUAAAAAAGAUAGUAGUCGUUUCCUUCAUUUUCAGAACUAUUUAAUAUUACAUUUUACUUUCCUCCACCAACGACUUAAACGUUUUCACAUUGGUAUAGUCUUGGCUGAUAACCGUUUGUGUGGCAGCCCAUAAGAAAAUGGAAGAUGUUGGGUCUGAGAAGUGACUAAAAAUGGUGGUUUCCUCAGUUUUCAUUGACCCAUCUUCAGAACAUGGGCUUAAAAAUUAAAUAGACGACAGCCACAGAAGGACCAAUGGUGAAUGUGGAUUUGGUGUGAGGCAUGUUCUCUGAGGUCCAUUGUCAAAGGAGACUAGUCUAUUCAGUCUAUGGGGAAAGAGCCACUAAUGGGGAGAUCUUGUUUCUGGAAUUUUAUGAUUGUAUUGUUAUUCAUGGAUCAAUGAAUAAAUAAGUAAAUGAAGAUAUAAAGGAAGGAAAACAUGCCUGGACCAAUGAUGAGUACCAUGGGGUAUCUGAAACAGGAGCUUUGAUUAAACCCAUAUCAACUCUGAGGUCCAUUACAGAGAGACGUGGAGUUAUUCCCUCUGCGGGAAAUGAGCCCAUGGUACCCUGUGCUGGGGCUUUUGUGGUUCUUGGGGGUGGAUUGUGUUUUUAUUAUAAAAUUGGCCCACAAAUAAAUAAAAUGUAUCAAAGAAUGAGAAAAAGAAGACAAGUCAUGCACCUAUUAUUAAGGAAUGUAAUGAAACAUGGAUUACUAUUAAAAUGUGGCUGAGACUCUGACUUCCAUUAAGUUACUAGUAAAGGCUCUGACUGCUCUAAAAAGGAGUAUAUGGUCAUUUGUAGGUAACACUCUAGAGUUUUUGUUUUUUGGUGGUGGUGGGUUGCUGACCGAUUGUUUUAUUAAGGAAUGGAAAGACAUUUACUCAGUUGGUUGGUUAAAUAACCACAUAAUUGAGAGCUAGGCAGAGACCAAUGAUAACAGUGAUUUGUAUGACAACACUCAUAGUUAAUCCAGUCUUUUUUUUACCGAUUUUUAUUGAAACAAUAAGAAACGAGCUAGUCUCUUAUUCUUGCUGUCAAUGACUGUGUCCAGUGGAUAAGAUUACAGAUACCUGUGCCUUUGCAUAAGAGAAAGAAGGUAUAAUUUUGUAUUUCAAUCUAUUUUUCAAAAGUCAGCAAACCAUGGACCAGUUAGGAGCCAUGUUUUAAUAUGAGGAUAAUGGUUCAUCUUGUUUUCCAAUGACGGAUAUUCUAAGAAAAAUUCUAGUCUCUUCUAUAUUUUGAAAGGUGCAUCUGGACAUCUCCAAGUUGUAAUAAUUUGGUUCUGAGUUAGUGUUUAACCAUUAUAAAUUUUCAUUAGAAAAAUGUGGAUAUGGUAUUAUUAUUCCCUGAAUAAUAAAAUAAAUUAGUGAGUGAAUUUGUAAAUCUGUAACAAUUUGUAGAGCGUUGGUGAGAUUGUAUCAUGAAACAAAUGAAACAUGUCCAAUUCUGCACAAAUAAGUCCAGUAAAAAGAUGAUCUUGGCUCCUCCUUUCUGCACAGCAAGUGAAUUUGUUUAGUAGUAAAACUUCAGUAAGUAAAUAAAGAGUGCCCUUCUUGGGAAGAUGAUGAGAAUGUGUUAUGAAGUAGGGUUCAUGAUUAAUCUAGUCCUCCUGACAAAUUUCAACUUAAAAACCUAACUCUAUGUUCCUUGUUUUUAAAAAUAGGCCUUUUGUUUUUCUUUAUAGAAGAACAAGACAGAGCUGAUCUAAUCAUCCUGUAACUGUGUAGGCCCUGGCUCUUACUUCUGGGACCAAGGAGCAUGAACACUGAUAGUGAACAUAAGACAGCCGAUUUCAUCAUUUAAUAAAGAAUUGUUAUCGUGAGCAAGGAGCAUAAAGACAAAUAUAAAGUGAAUGCACUCUACCAGAUUUGGUUGUCAUCUCGUGGUGAAGAUCUUGCCUUUUACCUCUUUGGGUAAAAAGAGGUCAAUUCAUUGUCCAUUGAUGGGGAUCUUGACUGUUACUUCUGUGAGUAAGGAACAAUGUAAGUAGCAAAGGUUCUCUUCUUGGUUUGUAUGGUUUGUUCACAUGAGCUCACUGAGGUAGUUCAAUAGAACAACAUCCAAUAACACCAACUAUGGACCAAUAGUGGGAAUGUGUUAUGGGCCAAGGAGUAGAAUUAACCCAUGUUAGCACAAAUGAGAUUCAUUUCUUAAAUUGAUGGAAGGCAUUUAAUUAAUUUUCAUAACCGUUUGCUAUUUCAUAUUAUUUCUGCACCACAGUUGAUUUAAGCAUUUCCAUAUUGGUAGAGAGCCAGGCUGUUUGCUAUUUAGAGGAAGCCCUUGGAAGGUGGAACAUAUUGUCUGUGUUCUAGAAGCGGGGUACCAUUGUGGUUUUUGGUUGUUUAUUAUACCAUGUUUAAAAUUGGAUAAAUUAAAUGAACAUGGCCCAAUCAUGGAUCGUUUUUAGGGAGGGCACUGUUAUGAAACCAGGUUUACACUGAGAUCUAGUGUAAAAGUUCUGGGAGAAAUCAGUCUAGAGACAGAUCAUAGUUAAAUCAAGGACCUUGUUCUCGGGAGUUUGUGAUUCAUGCGAAAGUGAAGAUAGAAAUGCAUGAAGAAGAGGAGUGCCAGGCCUGGACCAAUGAUGAGAUUGGAGGGUGUCUGAAUCAAAACUUUUGAUUAAAGCCAUCUGGAACUCUGAGGUCCAUUAUUAAAAAGUGUCCUCCUUUCUUCCUCUACGGAAAUGAGCUUAUCACAGAAGUUCAGAACUUUCAGGCAUCUUGACCUUGGGCAUACACAUUUCAUAAGUACGGAUUUAAUUUUUAUAAGUAAAUCAAGGCAUGAGUGAAUGAAGAAAUGUCAAAAUGGGUAAAUAUAAGGAAAGUUGUACAUUGGCCAAUGAUGAGGCAUGGGUUAUUAUUAAACAUUUCUGUAGCACUGAAUUCCAGUGAAAUAUAUUCAUAUAUCUCUUUUGGAAGGAGUGUAUAGACAGAUAUAUAUAAGACUCAAUUUUAUUGUUUGAUGUAGGUGGUUAUUUGCUGGUUGGUUGUUUUAGAGAAGGGAAAAUUAUGUAAAUAAAUAAUUUAUUAAGUAGUUAUUUAAUUGGAAAAAGAAUGAGCAUAGUUCAACUUGAGAAUAUGCCUUAUGAAAAGACUUAUUAUUAAUCUCCCUCUGUUCACUGCGUUUUAUUAAAAACAAGGAAAAGCAUUUGGUUUUUGAAUCUCUGUGGGCAAUGUAAUAGACAUAUCGAGACAGAGCAAUAUUAUUCGAGUUUCCUAAGGUUAGUUAAUUCCCAGUUAUUGAUAAAUUACUACGUGUGAAUAGAUUAUGUCCUAAUCACAGUCAGUAGUUAAAAACGGGACAAAACAUGGCCCUGUAAGAAGCAAGAAUAAUGAUUAAUCUUUGUCUGUACUACUGAUCCUCUCUUCCUAGUUUAGGUUUGGGCAUUUACACACACAAGGGGCAUUUCUAUUCUAGGUUGUUCAUGGCUUUACCAUUGUGUAUGUUUGUGUGUUAGUAUAUUUGAAUAUAUGAUCAAAUAUUCCAUGAGUCAUUUCAUAGACGAAUAAACAAAACAAUGAACGAUUGAGUUAACAUAUAAAUAGGGUCAAGCGUAGAUCUUGGUGAGGAUGUGCCAUGAAUGACAAAUUUAAAUUCACCCAUUUCUAUACGAAUUGAGUCCAUUAAAAAAAAGAGUAUUUAGGCUCUUGCCUACACGGGCAGGACUGUGUGGACAGAUAUGUAGAAUAUCAUAGUCCUUAUUUUUGAAUGAUGAACGUGGCAGUGUUCAUUGUUACUUAAAAUUAGCAGUCACAUCAGGAAAUAAAGGGGGCUGUUCUUGGGUCAGUGAUGAAAGUGAGACUUGAAUCAACUUCAUGAUUAACCUAAUACCACACAACUAAUGUCCUUUAAAUCAAGCUAAACCUGGACUCUUCCUUCUUCUAAAUGUUGGCAUUGGACUCCACAGAAGGAAGCCCAUGGCUGAUUCAGUCAGGCUCUGCUGCUGAAGAUCUCACCUGUUACCUUUGUGGGUAUGGAAUCUGAUGACUAAUGUAGAUAAUAGUCAGAAGAUCUUGUCAGUUGGGGUAAAUUUUUUAUUAGUGUUUAUUGAAUUAUUGAAAUUAAGCCAUACAUAGACUGAUGAUAUGAAUGUGUUACGAAACAAAGAUUACGGUUAAUCUGUUUUAAUAGAAUUUUGGUUUGAAUAAGAUGGAAGACAUUCUGUUCAUUUUCAAAGCUGAUAGUAAUCCACCUGUGUGUACUACAUUUGAUUUAAACGUUUAUCUAGUAAUAAAAUCUAGGGCUGCACUGUCCAAUGUGGUUGCCGCUAACCACAUGUGGCUAUUUAAAUUUAAAAUAAUUGAAAUUAAAUGAAUUUUCAAUUGGGUUCCUCAGUUGCACUAGCCACAUUUCAAGUACUUAGGAGCUACGGGUGGCUAAUGGUGACCGAAUUGUACAGUGCAGUUAUAACACAUUCACAUUAUCAGGCAAAGUUCUAUCUGAAAACUCCUCGUCGAUGGAGGAGUGCAUAGCAAGAUGGAAGAUAGUUGAAAUAGGGUGUGUAUGAAGCAAGAAUGUUCAUUGAUCCAUACAUACGUCAUUGAGGGCCACUGCAUAAAGAGAUCAAGUCUCUCGAGAAAAGAUCUAGUUUAUGGGAAGAGAGCCUAUAAACAGAUCUUGGUCAUAUUCAAGGAUCUUGUUCUUGGCUUUUUAUUUUUAUUCAUAGAUAUUGAUUUUAUUGCUGUUAGUGGAUCAAUGAAUGGAUCAAUAAACAAAGUGUAAAUGAAGAAAAAGAUUGCUUAGCCUGGAUCAAUGAUGAGUACCCUGGGGUGUCUGAAAUCAAGGAUUUUGAUUAAACCCUGUGACUCUGAGGUCCAUUACGGAAAGAUUCCUCUUGUUAUCUCUAUGGGAAGUGAGCUUAUUCUAGGAGUUAAAAAUAUUCAAAAGUUUGUUCUUGGGCUUCUGUGUAUUGUAUUUUCAGUAAAUCAAAGCAUGAAUAAAUUAAGAAAUGUAUAAAUGAAUGAAGACAAAAAGAAUUAUUCCUGAGCCAAAUAUGAGAGUAUGUAAUGUAAUAUAGGUAAUAUAAAAAUCAUUAUCAAUCCAUUUCUGAAGCACUGAGUUCUAGUAAAAGAAAUUGAUUAAAGCUGAGCCUUUGGGGUAAGGAGCGCUGAGAUAAACGGAUGUAAGAGCCCAUGUUGUUUUUCUGGGUUGGGUUGUUGGUUUUUUGUUUUAUUAAGAGAAGGGCAAAACGUUUAAUUAUUGAUUAAAUACAUAAUUAAGAGAGGGCUUACACCCUGGCCUAUGUUGAGAAUCUGUCACGUUACCAGUUAUGAUUAAUCCAAUCAUCUUCACUAUUUUUUAGUUUAAAAAAGAUAAGGAAAAAUCAUCUGAUCUUUUUCCUGCACCUAAUGAGCAUAUGGACAGGCAUUAAUAUUGUCUUGUUUCCGUGGAGUUGCAAAUAUUACAAAUAUAUAAAAGAUAAGUUAAUAUUUUAAUCAAUUAUUUGAAGGAAGGCAAAGCGUGGACCAGUGAGGAGCGCGUGUUAGGAAACAAGGCGAGCGAUGAAUGUAGUUCUACACAAUUGCUCUCCAGACAAAGAAAACAGACCUAGGCUCUUGUUGAGUGUGUUUACAUAGGAUUCCUCUUUCUGGCUUUUUGGUAAGAGUUUCUUUGAAAAAUGCAAGAUAAAUGACUCCAUGUCUAACCAAAUACAUACAUACAUAGAUAAAGGUGGGCAAACGCGGACCAUUGCUGCGGAUGUGCUCGAAUUUAGGACUCAGAUUAAUCUAAUUCUUUCCAAGCAAAGCUCAUUUAGAAAGAACAUAUGGCUCUUACUGGGCUCGGGAGGGGACAUAGAAACAGGCAUGUGCAAUAGUUCUUAUUCCUUUGUCUGGUGUUGGUUUCAAAAGUGUUCAUUAUAUCAGUUAAAUUUAAUAGUCAAAUCAAUUGUUCAAUCAAUAAGUAUGUCUUUCAGAGUUUUAAUAUGCAGCAAGCACUAAGGUUUAUUCCUAAUCAAUUAUUGUUGCCUUGAACUCAAUUUGAAAAAAUCUAAAUCAAGGCUGUUCUAUCUAUUUACCUAGUCUAAUCUCAUCUACUAUUAUAUUUGCUUUAUACUCCAGAGAAUGGGCGCACCGUGAUUCAGUUAAGGAGUGUAGAAUCUUAUGGUGGGCAGUCGAGCUGAUUGAAGCAUCUUCCGUGAUCGGAAGCUCCAUAUGUAGGAGAAUGGAGAUGAGUAAUGGGUGCACUGGAGGUGGUUUAAGGAUUCUUCUGUGGUGACAAGAUGUCUGGUUGUCUCUCUGUGUUUGGCACAUAGAAACAAAUAAUGAACACAUCGAAGCUGAUUUAAGAAUUAUGCCUUGGUCAACAAUCUCUAUAUUUGUCUGUAGGAGCAUGGAAACCAACGUGAGUAAUAGUCAGUGUUCUCAUCUUACUUUGGGUGGUUUGUUUAGGAUAUUCUCUGUAAUAUUUUUAAAAAGUACUCAAUAUAAGAUAAAAGACCACCCAUGGUCCAGUGAUUAAAAUGGAAAUAUAUGAAACAUUAUGUUGAUUAAUCUAUCUUUACAACAGUGAGGAUGAUCAAUGAAAGAGAUUAGGCAAUGAUUCUAAAGAAAAAUGAUAAAGACACUGAAGGCUCUUGUCCUUGAGUUUUGUGAUUCAUAGAUAUUUAUUUAAUUACUAUUAGUCAAUUGAUGAAUUAAUCAUUGAACAAAUGUAGAUAGGAAUGGAGAAAAAGAGGCCCAGAUCUGGACCAAUGAUGGUGACUGGUGGCGUACGAGUCAUGAACGAUGAAUGCUACGUGUCUGGAAGUCUGAGGUCCAAGAUAAAACAAAAUCUAGUGUUUCUUCUCUCACAAGUGACCCCAUGGAUCCAUGCUAGGAAUAUUCAAGGAUAUUGUUCUUGUAAUCUUGGAUUCAUAGAUUUCUAUAUUAUUAAUAUAAAUGGAUCAAUGGUAGAACCAAUAAAUAUAUAAAUUAAAAAAACAAAGAUGAAGCCUUGUCUGCCUAUGAAUAUGUGUGGUGAGGCAAGAUAUAUUAUUAAUAUAAGCUGAUGCAUGUUAAGAAAUAAAUGGACCAACGGUGUUACCUCUUUUUCUAAGGAUCAUAUCAUACUUAUAUUUAUGCUUAUAUAUGUAUCUAAAUUAUGAAAAAUAAUAAAUACCUUUAUGACUGAUUAAACAAAAUGAGCAAAACAAGGACCAAUUUAGAAGACGGUCUCAAGUUUCCAUAUCAUCUGCUCUGCUCUGUACUCCUCAGAUGGAUGCUCUCGAGUGGGUUUAAGCAUCUUCUAUGAUCACAUGCUCGACAGUUGCCUCUGUGUAAUGAGUAUAGAGACCAGUGUAAGUAAUAAAGUUCAUGCCUUUGUUUCAGAGGUUUCUUUCCCCCGGUAUUCACUGUAUUGUUAAAAGUGUGAAAUAUAAUCCAAGACACAAACUAUCAUGAAUGCUAACUAUGAGUUUGGUCUGCAGUGUUAUAUUUAUUAAUCCAUACAUGAAACAUUGAUGGUAAUGAAAGACAUAGCAAUGUGCAAAUGAUACUAUAGGCAGAUGCAGAAUAUUGCUUUUAUUCUUGGGGUUUUGUGAAUCAGUGAGUUUUAAAAAUUAAUGUUAGUGAAUUAGUGAAUUAAUGAGUAAACUUAUGCAGAUGAGAGUGAAGAAAAAGAGGCCCACAUAUGGACCAAUGAUGACGACUGGUGCGUAUGAGUCAUGGAUGAUGAAUAUUACGUGUCUGAAACUCUGAGGUCCAACAAAAAAGAAAUAUAAUUUAUUGCCUCUGUUUGACAUGAUAUUAUAGACAUAUAUUACGAAAAUAAAAAAUAUAGAAAAUAAAAACCAAUUUUCUUGGUUUGUGUUUCUGAAGUUUGAUUUUACUGUAAAAAAAUGGCCCAAAGAAACCAUCACUGUAAAAGCAUAAAUAGUUAAAAGUUAAGUGUAGAAGUAUAAAUAGCGUAAAAGGUAAUGAAGGGGGUGGAGCACGUCCACUCUUAAUGUAUGUGCUGAGGUGAUGAAACAAUGAACAUUUACUGAGAAUGCUGAAGUUCGCUAAGAAAUGUAAAUGGUUCACGUGUCUUACCUCUUCAGCUAAGUAUGAUAUAGGCAAUGAAUAAUGGUUUAAGUUCUUGUUCUGAGUUAGUGUUAGGUUCACUAUUGUUCAAUUUUUUAAGAUAAAAGUAAUGAAUAUGUCCCCAAUUUGCUAUAUUCAUAAAUAACUUACUAAAUGAAGGUGGAAUGUAUGCAUCAGUAGAGAAUAUCUCAAUCUUGUCAUUAUCUGUUCUGCUUUGUACUCCUCAGAAUAGACACCUGAACUUAUUUAAGCGUUUGGCCAUGAUCAGGAGCUCCAUCGAUGCCCCCGUGCACGAGCGUGGAGACCAAUAAUGGAGGCGAGAGCUUCUGUCACGAUCAAGAUCUUCGUGUUGCCUCUGUUGGAAAGAGACCAAGGGACAUACUGGAGCUGAUGGAAGAAUUCUUUCACUGCUGCACCCUCUUUGUUGGCUCUGUGUGUUAGGUGCAUGGAGCACAACAAAGAAAACACCUGAAAUGGUUUAAGCAUCUGCCCUGUUCAGGAGCCCCAAAGUAGCCUCUCUCUGUAGGAACAUUUAGUCCAGUAAUGGACACACUCAAGAUGAUUUAACUAUUUUUAUGGUCCCGAGAUCUGUGGUUUCCUCUGUGUGUUAAGAGCGUAGAGACUAAUAACGAGCUGAUUUAAGCAUCUUUUGUGGUCCCCAGCUCUGUGGUUGCAUCCGUGUGUUAGGAGCAUAGAGACCAAUAAUGGACAUGCUCCAGCUGAUUUAAGGAUUCUUCCAUGCUCACACGUUCUAUGGAUGCAUCUGUGUGUUACAGUGUGGGGAACAAUGUUCUGCCGAUGCUGCCUGUUGGGAAACAACGUUUUGAGAAUCGCUGAUAAUAGGCAGAUCUAUGUGACGUUAGUUAAUGUCUUUGCUCUGCAUCAGUGAAUGGAUGUACCUGAACUGAUUGAAGCAUUCUGAAAAGACCAAGAGCUCUAGGCCGCCGCUGUGUUUAGGAAUGUAUAUUUAAAGUUUUCCCUGAACAUUCCUUAAUUGAUAAAGAUAUAAGCUAUUUUCAUGAUGAGGAAAAAGCACUUAGGAGAUGGGGCGUGCUCACUGCUAAUCCAGCUUCUACCGUGAUCUCAGGAUCAGAAGCUUCUGGUUGCCACUAUGUGUGGGGACCCGUGUGAGUAAUAGAUUUCUUGUCAAGGUUUGGGUGGUUUGCCUAAGGGUAUUCACUGUGUAAAGACCUAUGAAAUAUAAUCACAGAAGGCCAGUCAUAGCGUAAUAAUGAAGCCAGUGUUGAUGUGAGGCAUGCUGUUGGUUAAUUGAUUUACUAAAUAUUGAGGUCAAAUAGAGAAAGAGAUCUAGUCUCUGUGAGAAAUAAUUCUAUAGACAGAUGUUAGGAAUUUUCAGGAAACUUCUUCAUGGGUUUUUGUGAUUCCUGUGAAUUUAUUUUAUUAUUAUUUGUGAAUUGUUGAAUUAAUAGAGAAGAUGAAGAAUAAAAGGGAAAACCUGGACCAGUGGUGAUGGCCGGUGCAUGUGAGUCAUACACAGUGAGUAGUGCAUGUCUGAAACUCAGAAGUCCAACACGAAAGGAAUCUAGCACAUUCACCCUGUUUGAAGUGUUCCUGUAGGCAUACGUCAGGAAUAUACAAGGAUAUUUUUGUUGGAUUUCUGGCCAUGGAUUUUUAAAAAUACUGUUAUAAAAGAAUCAAUGGCAGAAUAAAUGAACAAAUAUAUAAAUGAAUAAAGAAGGAGGUGAAGCAUUGUUUAUUGUCAAAAUAUGUAAUAGGUAAAAAUAAUAUUAACAAAUUGGAAUGAAAAACAAAAGGACCAAGUGUAUGACAUCUUUCACUAAAUCUUGAUAUAGACAGUAAUAAGUAAUGGUUGUAAGUUUGAUGUUUGAUUUAUUAAGAGAAAAAUAAAUAAAUAUUACUAGAAAUAAAUAAAUCCCUGACUAUGUAUAUGAAUGGUGGGAAGUAUGGAUCAAUGGAGAGCAUUUCUCAACCUUUUUGUUACCUUCUCUGCUUGCUACCUUUCAGGACAGGUGUUGGAGCUGAUUUUAGCUUCUGCCAUGAUCAAGAUUGUCAUGUUGCCUGUGUGUUAGGAAAAAGAUUAAGGUGAGUAAUGAUCAAAGAUCUUGUCUUGGUUCAGGUCAUUUGCUUAAGGAUAUGCUUGCAUUACUAAAAACUAUUAAAUUAAUAAAAAAGUUAUCUAGUUUCCAAAAAGAAAUAUGAUAUGAAAUAUGUUGACUAAUCAAUAAUGUAUAACAUUGAGAUUAACAGAAGUGGUAUUGUCUAUGUGGGAACUGAUUGUAUAGAAAGAUGGUAGGGCUAUUCAAGGAUCUUGCUCUUGGUUUUUUUGUGAAUCAUGGAUUUAUUUUAUUAUUAUCAAAGAAUUAAUGAUUUAAUCAAUACAAAUAUAGACAUAAAUGAAGAAAAAGAGGCCCAAACAUGGACCAGUGAUGCUGACUGGUGGUGUAUGUGUCUUGGUUGAUGAAAACAAGUGAGUUCCAAGACAAAACUCAAUUAGUCCUGACCCUCUUUUGAAAAUGAUCCUAUGGACGUCAAAAAUAUACAAAGGUCAUGUUUUUAUUUUGGAGUCAUAGAUUUAUAUUUAUUAUUAUUAAUGGAUCAAUGAUAGAACAAUUAAACAAAGAUAAAGGAAGAGAAAGUGAAGCAUUGUCCAGUUUUGCACAUACAUGAUGAGACAAAAUAGGUUAUUAAUAAAAAUUGAAAAAUUGAUGUCUAUUAAGAAAUAAAUGGAUCAAGGGUGUUACUUGUUUGGCUGAGCAUCACAUAGACAUGGAUAAUUAAGAGUCAGUUUUAUUAUUUUGGAUUAGUUUCAAGUUUGAGGUUAUUUCCUUUAAUAGAAAACAUACACAUAUAUAAUGAAAAAUUAAUAAAUACCUUAAAAAUUGAGUAAAUGAAGCAUGGAAAGGAAGGAUCAAUGUAGAUCAGGUCUUAAUUUAUUUUAUCAACUGCUGUGCUCUGUACUCCUCAGAAUGGACACACUUGAGGUGACUUAAGCAUCUUCCACGAUCUUGAGCUCUGUGGUCGCAUCAUGCAUUAGGAAUGUGGAACCGAUAAUGGAUGCCCUUGAGCUGAUUUAAGCAUCUUCCAUGGUCAGGAGUUCUGUGGUUGCACCUGUGUGUUAGGAGCAUGGAAAACAAUAAUGGAUAUAUUCCAGCUGAUUUAAGCGUCCUCCCUGGUCAGGAGCUCUGUCGUUGCAUCUCUGUUUGAGCAGCAAGGAGACCAACAAAAAGAGGCCCAGAAGUGGACCAGUGAUGACCACUGCUGCGUAGGAGUCAUAUAUGACUGGGUGCCGUCAAGGUGAUUUAAGGAUUCGUCUGUGGUCACAAGGUCUCGUUGCAUUCGUGUGUUAGGAGACCAUAAUGGUCGCAUUCAAGCUGAUUUGAGCACUCCGCCCUGGUCAGGAGCUUUCUGGUUGCAUCUAUGCAUUAAGCUCAUGGAGAGCAAUCAUAAACGUACGAGAGAUGAUUUAGCAUCUUCCGUGGACGUGAGCUAUGUGGUUGCCUCUCUAUAAUAGGAGGAUGGAGAUUAAUAACCGCCACCCUGGACCGGAUUUAAGGACUCUUGAUCACCAGCUCUAGGUGCAUCUGUUUUUUAGGAGCCUGGAGACCUGUAAUAGAAGCUGAAAGAUUUCAUUGUGAUCUAUUGUGAUCAAGCUUGUCAUGUUCCUUUAUUGUAGGAAAGAGACCAAGCUGAUGGAGCCUUAGCCCAUGGUGGCAAGCUGUAUGAUUGCACCUCUCCGCCGGAAGCUCAGAGAUCAAGAGCGAAAACGCUCAAGAUGAUGUGAGCAUCUUCCGUGGUCACAAACUCUAUAGUUGUGACUUUAUAAUAGGAGCCUGGAGAACAAUAAUGGAGGUUCUAGUUGAUUUCAGGUUCUGCUCCGAUCAAGAUUGUUUGUUGCCUCCACGUUAGGAGAGAGACCAAGAAUGGACGCGGAAGCUGAUUUAGCAUCUCUCAGAUCCAGGCGCUCUAUGGUUGCAUCUGUGUAAUAGGAGGACGGAGAUUAAUAAGAGACACACUGCGCCUGUUUAAGGAUUCCUCCUUGUCGUGAGCCCUAGGGUUGCAUCUCUGUUUUAGGAGCCUGGAGACCAGUAAGGGACACACUGAAGCUGAUUGUAAUACUCUUCCAAGGGCGUGAGCUCUCUCAAUGCGUCUCUGUGCUAGGAGCAUGUGGACCAACGUGAGUAACAGUCAAAGUUCUUGUCUUACUUUGAGUGCUUUGUUUAAGGCUAUUCACUGUAUUACUCAAAAACAUUAAAUAUAAUCAAAGAAGGCAAAAUAUGCCAGUGUUAAAUGUCAGGUUGAUAUGAGGCAUAAUGUUAACUAAUUUAUGAAUGUAACCCUUAGGUCAGUUAAUGAAAGCGAUUUAGUCUCUGUGUAAUAUUACAGACAGAGAUAUUAGGAAUGUUGAGGCAUUGUAUUCUUAUUUGUUUAAUUUAUGUGUGUUUCUUAAUGAAUUCAUCAAUAUUUAUGAGAAUGAAAAAAAGCAAGAAGGCUAAUAAUGGACCAAUGAUGACGAUCGGUGGCUUUUCUGAGUCAUACACGAUGAAUACUAUGUGUCUGAAACUCUGAGGGCUGAUACAAAGAUACUCUAGUCCUUUUCUUGCUUGUGUAGGGACCCUAUAUAUAGGUGUCAAUAAGAUAUAAGGACUUUGUUCUCGCUCUUUGUGUUCAUGAGUUUUAAUAAUUAAUUUGUAAAAGUGGGAAUGGUAGAAUAAAUUAACAAACGUAUAAAUGAAUAAAGGUGGAGAGGUUGAAGCAUUGUUCUUUGGUAAAUAUGUAGUAAGCUAAAACAACGUUAAUAUCGUUAAAAUGGAUAUAAAAGGACCAAGUGUAUUACAUCUUCGCCUAAGGUUGAUACGGACGAUGAAAUUUAGCAAUCAGUUAUUGACUGAUUCAGUUGCAAGUUUGAACUUUAUUUUUAAGGUAGAAAUGAAUACAUUCCCAUAAGCUAGUAAAUACUUAAAUGACCGUGUAUAUGAAUGGUGGAAAGUAUGGAUCACUAGAGAGAAAGUCUUAACCUUUUUAUCACUUUCUCUGCUUGGUACUCCUCAGAACAGAUGCUCGAGCUGAUUUCAUCUUCUAUCGUGAUCAAGAUUGUCAUGUUCCCUUUGUGUUAGGAAAGAUACUAAGGUGAGUAAUGAUCAAAAAUUUUAUCUUGGUUUGUGUCAAUUUUUUAAGUGUAUUCAUGGUGUUAUUAAAAAGUGAUGAAUAUAAUAAAAAAGUUAACUAUGGCCUAAUGAUAAAUAUGAUAUGAAACAUUAUUUUGAUUCAUUUAAUAUAUGUAACAUUGAGAUUGAUUAAAGACGUAAUCUAUGUUGGCAGUGAUUCUAUAGUAGAAGUUAGGAAUAUUCAAGUAUCUUCUUCUUCAGUUUUGUGAACCUUGUGUUUAUUUUAUUAUUUUCAAUGAAUUAAUUAUUUAAUUGAUAGAAGUGUAGAAAUGAAUGAAGAAAAAGUAGGCCUCUUUUGGACCAAUGAUGACGACUAAUGGCGGAUAAGUCGUGGACGAUGAAUAAUACGUGUCUGGAUAUCUGAGGUCCUCACAGUACGUUGGCUAUUCCUUCUGCUGUGUUUGAGCUUGUAGACUGAUGUAAGGAAUAUGCAAAGAUCAUGUACCUAUUUUGAGUUCAUAGAUUUAGAUUUGUUGUUAUUAAUGGAGCAAUGGUAGACCAUUAAAGAAAUAUAAACAGUAUGUAAAGAAAAAAGGGUGAAGCAUUAUUCAACUAUGAACAUAUAAGGAAAGGCAAGAAAUAUUAAUAAAAUUGAAAACACUGAUGCCCAUUUAGAAAUAAGUGGAUCAGAGGUCUACAUCCUUGGCUAAUUAUCAUAUAGGCAUAAAUAAGUAAGAGUCAAUUUAUUUAUUCUGAGUCAGUUUCAAGUUUGGGGUGGUUCCUUUGAUUAAGAGAAAAAACAUUUACAUUAUGAAAAGUUUAUGGAUACCUAAAUAAGUGAGUAUAAUGUCCUAACUUUUUUUUAAUCAUUGACUGUGCUUUUUCUUCUCAGAAUGGACACACUCAGGCUGAGUAAGCAGUAUUCCAUGGUGUGGAGUUUAUGAUUGCACCUUUGCGUUAGGAGCACAGAGACCAAUAGUGGGCGCCCUGGACCUGAUUUAAGGAUUCUUUCCGGAUCACAAGCCCUGGGGCUGCAUCCCAGUUCUAGGAGCCUAGAGAGCAAGAAUGGAUGACUUGAGCUGAUUCUAACGUUCUUCCAAGAUCGCCAGCUCUCUGAAUGCAUCUCUGUUGUAGGAGCAUGGAGACCACUAACAGAUAAUCAGGUUGAUUUCAUCUACUGCUGUGGUCAAGAUUGUUACGUUGGCAUCAUGUCAGUGAGUAAUAGUCAAAGUGAGUAAUAGUCAAAGGUCUUGUCGUGCUUUGGGUCAUUUGGUUAAAGAUAUCCGUGGUAUUAUUAAAAAGUAUUAAAUAUAAUGAAAAAGUUAACUAUUGCCCAAUGAUACAUAUGAUAUGAAACAUUAUGUUAAUUGAUAAUAUAUAGCUUUGAGAUUGAUUAACGAAAGACAUGCAGCUGAUGUUGGCAAUGAUUCUAUAGAUAGAACUUAGGGAUAUUCAAGUAUCUUGUUUUUCACUUUUUGUGAGUCAUGUAUUUAUUUUUUCAUUGUCAUUGAAUUAGUGAAUUAAUCAAUACAAAUGUAAAUGAAUGAAGAAUAAAUGGGCUUCUAAUGGAUCAGUGAUGACAACUGGUUGUCUAGGAUGAUGAAUGAUUUGUGUCUGGAGCUCUUAAGGUCCAACAUGAUACCUAGUGUAUUCUCUCUGUUAUAUUUGACACCAUAGACAAAUGUUAGGAAUAUACAAAGAUCAUGUUAUUAUUUCGGGUUCAUAGAUUUAUAUUUAUUAUUAUUAAUGGAUAUAUAGAAAUCUAAAGAAAUAUGAAGGCUAGAUCAAGAAUAAAGUUAAAGCCUUGUGCAACUGUGAUCCUAUGUGGUGAGGCAAAAAAAAUUAUUAAUAAAAAUUGAAAACACUGAAGCUCAUUAAGAAAUAAACUGAUCCCAAGGGUGUUAUCUGUUUGGCUAAGGAUUGUAUAUAUAUGGAUAAUUGAGUAAAUUUUAUCGUUCUGGGUCAUUCUCAAGUUUGAGGCUGUCCUUUUGUUAAGAGAAAAUAAUAUCUACAUUCCAAAAGAAUUUUAAAUACCUAAGUUACUCAGUAAAUAAUGUGGAAAUGAAGGACCAAUGAGUAUAAGUUCUCAAUUUUGUUAUCUUCAGCUGUGCUUUGUACUUCUCAGAAUGGACACAGUUGAGCUGAUGAAGCAGUAUCCUUGGUGGCAAGCUCUAUGAUGGCAUCUGUGUGUUAGAAGCAGAGACCAAUCUGAGUAAUAGCCGUUCUAGUCUGGGUUUCAGUGAUUUUUUUCAGGAUAUUCAGUGUAUUUCUAAAAAGUGCCAUACAGAAUUGAAGAAGGCUGAUUGUAGCCCAUUCAUAAAUAUUGAAUUAAUAUGAAACAUUAUACUGAUUAAUGCGUAAGUGACAUUUAGGAUUAUUAAUGAAAGAGGUAUAUUGAUGUGAGAAUCAUUCUAGACAAAUUAGGGAUAUCAAUGCCUUUUUGGGGUUUUGUGAAUCAUAGAGUUUUAAAAUUAUACAUAGUGAAUUAAUGAAUUAGCCAAUAAACAAUGUAGAAAUAAAUGAAGAAGAGGCACAAUAUUGGCUCGAUGAUGACUGCUGGUGGCGUAUGAGUCGUAUACUAUGACUACGUGUCUGGAACUCUUAGGUCCAACAGAACAAGAAAUCGGGUCCAUUCCCAUUGUUUGUAGAGAUCCUGUAGGCAAAUGUCAGAAUAUACAAGGAUCUUGGUUUUGUUUUUAUGUUCAUGCAUUUUUUUCUAUUUUUAUAAUUGGAUCAAUGAAAUAAUAAAUAUCCAAAUAAAUAAAGAUGAAGGUGGUGAAAUAUUGUCUAGUUAUAAAAAUAUCGGAUUAGGCAAUAAACUCUAUUGAUUUUUAUAGAUGAAUUGAUUCUGUAGAGAGAUGUCAAGAUCAAUGCAAAUCAAUAGACAGAUCAUAUUUUUGUAUUGACUUCAUAGAUGUAGAUAUGUUCUAAUUAAUGGAAUAAUGAUAGAAAUACUAAGCAAAUACAAAUAAAAGAGGAACAGGGUGAAGUGUUGCCUAACUAUGAAUGUAUGUGGUAAAGCAAAAGAUGUUAUUAAUGAAAUUGAAAACAUUGAUCCUAUUAAGAAAUAAAUGAAUCAAAGUAUCACCCCUUUGCUUAAGAAUCAUUUGGACAUUGACUAGUAAGAAUCAAUUGUAUUAUUUUGGGUCAGUCUUAAGACGAAGUUUUUCAGUAUGUAGGGUUAAAUGUAUAUAUAGAUAAAAGAAUAAAUAUCUUUCUGAGCUGAUGAAAUGCGGAAAGUGAGGAUCAAUGGUGAUUAGGUCUCAAUUUUUGUAUCAUCCGCUCUGCACUCCUCAGAACAGACGCACUUGUGCUGACUUAGCAUCUCUCAUGGUCACGAGCCUCUAUAUUACAGGAGAACGGAGAUUAAUUCCUCAGAACGGACGCAUUGGACCUGAUUUAAGAAUUCAUCCUUGAUCCUGAGACCUAGGAUUGCAUCUCUGUUACGGGAAUCUGGAGACCAAUAAUGGAACCACCUGAGGUGAAUUAAGCGUCUUCCAUGGUCACGAGCUCUCUGCUUUCGUCUCUGUUGUAGGAGCAUGGAGACCAUUUCGAGCUGAUUUGAGGAGUGUUCCAUGAUGGCAAGCGCUGUGACUGUAUCUCCAUGUUAGGAAGAAAAAGACGAGUAACGUUGCACACGGCUGAUGUGGGCGCUCCCCCAUGGUCCCAAGCUGUUUGCACCUGUGCGUUAAGAGCGUGGAGAACAAUAAUGGACUCUGGAACUGAUUUCAGCUUUUGCUGUCGUCAAGAUUGUCAUGCUGCCUCUGUGUAUGGAAGGAGAUCAAGCUAAUUUAGCAUCUUCCAUGGCAGGAGCUCCACGGUUGCGUCUGUAUGACAGGAGGACAGAGAUUAAUAAUGGAUGCACUCAAGCUUCUUUAAGCAUGUUCCACGGUCAUGAUCUUUAUGUUUGCACCUGUGUGUUAGGAGCAUGGAGACCAAUGUGAGUAAUAGUCGAAGUUCUCAUGUUGGUUUGAGUGGUUCAAAGAAGGCCAAUCAUACCAAUGUUUAAUAUCAGAUUGAUAUGAAGCAUUGCAUUGAUUAACCCAUAAAGAAACAGACACUGAGUUCAGUUAAUGAAAAGGAUAGAGAUUCUUUGUAAAUGAUGCUAUUGGUGAAUAUUAGGGAUAUUGAAGGAUCUUGUUUUUUUUUUAUUUAUGUGUAUUUCUUCAUGAAUAAAUUAACCAAUAAGGAAAUGUAGAUGAGAAUGGACAGAAAGAAGGCCAAUCAGGGGCCAGUGAUGACGACUGGUGGUGAAGAAUGUCAGCGUGGAGCUCUGAGGGCCAACACAGACUGACUCUAGUCCAUUCCCCAGAUUUUAAAGGAUACUAUAGACAGAUUUCAGGAUUAUAUAGUGAUCUUUUUCUUGGUCUUUGUGUUCAUGAAUUUUAAAUAUAUGAUUAUAAAAGAACCAACGGCAGAAUAAAUUAGCAAAUGUAUAAAUGAAUAAAGAUGAAGAGGGUGAAGCGUUGUUCAUUACUGAAAUACGUAGUCAGGAGAAUGAAUAUUGAUAGACACUGGAAUGAUACUAAAGGGACCGGUGUGUUAAGUAUUGGACUAAGGAUGAUAUGGACAGUGAGAGGGAGUAGUCAGUUAUUGCCCUGACUCAGUUACAAGUUUUAAGUUUAUUUCGUAAAGAGAAAAACCGAUUUUAUCUUAAAUUUAUAAAUACUUAAAUGACUUUGUAAAUGGGGUAUGGAAAUUACAGAUCAAUGGAGAGAGCGUCUCAAUCUUUUUAACAUCUUUUCUGUCUGAUACUCUAAAAACAACGCAG
rnacentral:lncRNA from 1 species